GACGAACGCUGGCGGCGUGCCUAAUACAUGCAAGUAGAACGCUGAAGAGAGGAGCUUGCUCUUCUUGGAUGAGUUGCGAACGGGUGAGUAACGCGUAGGUAACCUGCCUUGUAGCGGGGGAUAACUAUUGGAAACGAUAGCUAAUACCGCAUAACAAUGGAUGACACAUGUCAUUUAUUUGAAAUGGGCAAUUGCUCCACUACAAGAUGGACCUGCGUUGUAUUAGCUAGUAGGUGAGGUAAUGGCUCACCUAGGCGACGAUACAUAGCCGCCCUGAGAGGGUGAUCGGCCACACUGGGACUGAGACACGGCCCAGACUCCUACGGGAGGCAGCAGUAGGGAAUCUUCGGCAAUGGGGGCAACCCUGACCGAGCAACGCCGCGUGAGUGAAGAAGGUUUUCGGAUCGUAAAGCUCUGUUGUAAGUCAAGAACGGGUGUGAGAGUGGAAAGUUCACACUGUGACGGUAGCUUACCAGAAAGGGACGGCUAACUACGUG
rnacentral:rRNA from 1 species